AGCGAACGCUGGCGGCAGGCCUAACACAUGCAAGUCGAACGAACCUUUCGGGGUUAGUGGCGGACGGGUGAGUAACACGUGGGAACGUGCCUUUAGAUUCGGAAUAACUCAGGGAAACUUGUGCUAAUACCGAAUGUGCCCUUCGGGGGAAAGAUUUAUCGCCUUUAGAGCGGCCCGCGUCUGAUUAGCUAGUUGGUUGAGGUAAUGGCUCACCAAGGCGACGAUCAGUAGCUGGUCUGAGAGGAUGAUCAGCCACAUUGGGACUGAGACACGGCCCAAACUCCUACGGGAGGCAGCAGUGGGGAAUCUUGCGCAAUGGGCGAAAGCCUGACGCAGCCAUGCCGCGUGAAUGAUGAAGGUCUUAGGAUUGUAAAAUUCUUUCACCGGGGACGAUAAUGACGGUACCCGGAGAAGAAGCCCCGGCUAACUUCGUG
rnacentral:rRNA from 1 species